GCCAGACUCCUACGGGAGGCAGCAGUGGGGAAUAUUGCACAAUGGGGGAAACCCUGAUGCAGCGACGCCGCGUGAGUGAAGAAGUAUUUCGGUAUGUAAAGCUCUAUCAGCAGGAACGAGACAAGACGGUACCUGACUAAGAAGCCCCGGCUAACUACGUGCCAGCAGCCGCGGUAAUACGUAGGGGGCAAGCGUUAUCCGGAAUCACUGGGUGUAAAGGGAGCGUAGACGGCUGUGCAAGCCUGAAGUGAAAGGCGGGGGCCCAACCCCUGGACUGCUUUGGGAACUGUACGGCUGGAGUGCAGGAGAGGUAAGUGGAAUUCCUAGUGUAGCGGUGAAAUGCGUAGAUAUUAGGAGGAACACCAGUGGCGAAGGCGGCUUACUGGACUGUAACUGACGUUGAGGCUCGAAAGCGUGGGGAGCAAACAGGAUUAGAUACCCUGGUA
rnacentral:rRNA from 1 species